CCUACGGGUGGCAGCAGUGAGGAAUAUUGGUCAAUGGCCGGAAGUCUGAACCAGCCAUGCCGCGUGAAGGUCAGUGCCCUUUUGGCGUUAAACUUCUUUUUUUCGGGAGCAAUAAUGGUCACGUGUGGCCAGACUAGAGUACCGUACGAAUAAGCAUCGGCUAACUCCGUGCCAGCAGCCGCGGUAAUACGGGGGAUGCAAGCGUUAUCCGGAUUUAUUGGGUUUAAAGGGUUCGUAGGCGGGCUGUUAAGUUAGCGGUAAAAUGUCGGGGCUCAACCCCGGCCUGCCGUUGAAACUGGCGGCCUAGAGAGGGCGAGAAGUAUGCGGAAUGCGUGGUGUAGCGGUGAAAUGCAUAGAUAUCACGCAGAACUCAGAUUGCGAAGGCAGCAUACCGGCGCCCGACUGACGCUGAGGCACGAAAGCGUGGGUAUCGAACAGGAUUAGAUACCCCAGUAGUC
rnacentral:rRNA from 1 species